ensembl:misc_RNA 7SK 7SK RNA
GGAUAUGAGGGUGAUCUGGCUGUGACAUAUGUCACCCCAUUGAUCACCAGGAUUGAUUCGGCUGAUCUGGCUGUUUAAGUGGGUGUCGCCUUCCUCCUUCAGUGCUCCAUGUGCAUCCCUCCUGAAGCUGGGUGCUGGGUUGAAAAGGACAUCCUUCCCGGAUAGAGAAGGGGACCAUUGGCUCAAGGGUACAAGAGUAGCUGUGCUUCCCUGCUAGAACCUCGAAAAAUGAGGUACUCAUUAUUUUCUCCAUUUAAGAAAUGAGCAAUCUUAGCCCAAUAUUAUGGACACAAUG